CAACUGUUUUUCAACUUUGUACAUUAUCAUUGUUAGUAAAAAUAAUUGGCAUGGGCUAGAAAUGGGCAUGGAGAUGACAUAUCCGAAAAUCUUACAUAUUUGUAUCUAUUUUCAGAGCGUUUGAUUAUGUUUUUUUUAAUGGCUGAAAAAAAUAUAGAGAUGUAAUAAUUUAUUAUUCAUCUUUUUUUUAAUUAUCAAGUUGCUAUGGAUCAAGUCGUUGGCGAUACAUACUCAAUUUGUUCCAUUAGGUUCAUGAAAAAUUGUUCUAAUAAGGUUCACCUCGUCCUCCCAAAUUGCAUGGUGAUGCAAAACUGCAAGUACUUUGCUGGAGUAGUUCCAAUAAGGUUCACCACGUCCUCCCAAAUUGCAUGGUGAUGCAAAACUACAAAUACUUUGCUGGAGUCGUUCUGAAGGUCUUAGACGAUUUGUUCUAAUAAGGUUCACCACGUCCUCCAAAAUCGCAUGGCGAUGCAAAACUACGAGUACUUUGCUGGAGUUGUUCUGAAGGUCUUCGACGAUUUGUUUUAUUAAGGUUCACCACGUCCUUCCAAACUGCAUGGUGAUGCAAAACUGCAAGUACUUUGCUGGAGUAGUUCUGAAGAUCUUCGACGAUUUGUUCUAAUAAGGUUCACCACGUCCUCCAAAAUUGCAUGGCGAUGCAAAGCUACGAGUACUUUGCUGGAGUUGUUCUGAAGGUCUUCGACGAUUUGUUUUAUUAAGGUUCACCACGUCCUUCCAAACUGCAUGGUGAUGCAAAACUACACAUACUUUGCUGGAGUCGUUCUGAAGGUCCUUGACGAUUUGUUCUAAUAAGGUUCACCACGUCCUCCCAAAUUGCAUGGUGAUGCAAAACUACAAGUACUUUGCUGGAAUUGCUCCAGAGAGAGGUCCAAGACGAUUUGUUUUAUUAAGGUUCACCACGUCCUCCAAAAUUGCAUGGCGAUGCAAAGCUACGAGUACUUUGCUGGAGUAGUUCUGAAGGUCUUCGACGAUUUGUUCUAAUAAGGUUCACCACGUCCUCCAAAAUCGCAUGGCGAUGCAAAUCUACGAGUACUUUGCUGGAGUUGUUCUGAAGGCCUUCGACGAUUUGUUCUAAUAAGGUUCACCACGUCCUCCUAAAUUGCAUGGUGAUGCAAAACUACAAAUACUUUGCUGGAGUCGUUCUGAAGGUCUUAGACGAUUUGUUCUAAUAAGGUUCACCACGUCCUUCCAAACUGCAUGGUGAUGCAAAACUGCAAGUACUUUGCUGGAGUAGUUCUGAAGGUCUUCGACGAUUUGUUCUAAUAAGGUUCACCACGUCCUCCCAAAUUGCAUGGUGAUGCAAAACUACACAUACUUUGCUGGAGUCGUUCUGAAGGUCCUUGACGAUUUGUUCUAAUAAGGUUCACCACGUCCUCCUAAAUUGCAUGGCGAUGCAAAUCUACGAGUAGUUUGCUGGAGUUGUUCUGAAGGUCUUCGACGAUUUGUUUUAUUAAGGUUCACCACGUCCUCCCAAAUUGCAUGGUGAUGCAAAACUACAAGUACUUUGCUGGAAUUGCUCCAGAGAGAGGUCCAAGACGAUUUGUUUUAUUAAGGUUCACCACGUCCUCCAAAAUUGCAUGGCGAUGCAAAGCUACGAGUACUUUGCUGGAGUAGUUCUGAAGGUCUUCGACGAUUUGUUCUAAUAAGGUUCACCACGUCCUCCAAAAUCGCAUGGCGAUGCAAAUCUACGAGUACUUUGCUGGAGUUGUUCUGAAGGUCUUCGACGAUUUGUUCUAAUAAGGUUCACCACGUCCUCCUCCCAAAUUGCAUGGUGAUGCAAAACUACAAGUACUUUGCUGGAGUCGUUCUGAAGGUCUUAGACGAUUUGUUCUAAUAAGGUUCACCACGUCCUCCAAAAUCGCAUGGUGAUGCAAAACUACAAGUACUUUGCUGGAAUUGCUCCAGCGAGAGGUUUAAGACGAUUUGUUUUAUUAAUGUUCACCACGUCCUCCAAAAUUGCAUGGCGAUGCAAAGCUACGAGUACUUUGCUGGAGUCGUUCUGAAGGUCUUAGACGAUUUGUUCUAAUAAGGUUCACCACGUCCUCCCAAAUUGCAUGGUGAUGCAAAACUAUAAGUAUUUUGCUGGAGUCGUUCUGAAGGCCCUUGACGAUUUGUUCUAAUAAGGUUCACCACGUCCUCCCAAAUUGCAUGGUGAUGCAAAACUUGAUGCAAAGUACUUGUAACUUUGCUGGAAGGAACAAGUUCUUUGCUAGAGUUGUUCUAGAGAAAGGCCCAAGGCAAUUUGUUCUGUUAAGGUUCUGGUUCACCACGUCCUCCUAAAUUGCAUGGUGAUGCACUAAAUUCACUUAUAAAAAAUGCACUUCUGCAGCAGUUCCAGAGGCCCAAAAAGGUUAGUUUUAUCUAGAUUCACCAGGUUCACCUAAGUAGUAGUGCGAUGCUAAAAAUUAAUAUGUUCACUUUUGAAGUUGUUCCACAGGUCCAUCAAAAUUUAUGCUAAUUUGGUUCACAACGUCCUUUCAUGAGUGGUGAUGCGUAUAUUUCUGAAAUCAUUCACCUCGACGAUUAACUUCUGAAGUUUUCCCUGAGAUUCAAGAACAAAUCUUGUUCACCCUCAUUCUCUAACGUAACGUAAUUCGAAGGUAAAUCGUUCGCAUUCCCGUUUUCGCCAGCAAAACCAAAUGGACUAGGGAUUCGGAAGGAACUCACCAGAUCAAAUCGGAAGAUAUACAAGAAACUCCGGAGGAAUCUCCAGAUUUAAUCCUAGAUAAUCAUCGAAGCAGGUCUCUGAGGAAUUUCCAAACGGGCGACUGGAGAGUUUGCUAUCCCGGGGAUAUCUUCAAAAUAACUACAAAAGAAACGUAUCAGCUUUCUUUUUGAAUUAUUUUAUUAUUACCUUCAUCUUUACUAAACAGCUUUAAAUUCCUUCCAAAAUCACUAGUCUGCUCCUGAAAUUUAUGGCCUUCCGCGUCGGUGGUCCACUUUCGGGUGAGAAAUGGAUACCUACUUCUUAUAAACGAUCCCCCCAUCAAAAACUUUGUCGGCGUGGGGAACUCGAAGGGAAGUCCAGUUCUUGGUCCAGUUAUGUGUAUAUAUAUGAGGUAACUACAAAGAUACAAGUUGGUGUCGUUCACAAGCUGCAGCAAGACCCAUUUCACACGAGUUUUGUUUCGACUUCUGUUGCCUUCGGAUUUUAAAUACAUUGUAGAAGAGUGACGCUCAACUGAAUUGUUGGUUGGAGGCGACACAAUGUCGAUCCUUUAACGACAUGGAUGUUUUUUAGCCGGGAAUUUGCACAUCUAUCCUGCGGAACUUCCUCCGGGUGAGGUAUACUGCUGUUGAUUUCGUACCCGCUUCCGAACGGACUUUUUCAGUUCCAUUGAAAUAAACUACGUUUUCGUUUUGUAUAGCGGACCCCACACGAGUGUCAAUACUUCAUCAAAACCGGUACUUUUUGUCGGGAUUUUCAUCAAACCUUCAGCUCAAUCGAAAGAUUUUCCUAAAAUACAUUGAAAAAAUCAUAAGUUUGACGAAAAUUCCGUCAAAAACUACCGAUAUUGAUCAAUUAUUGAGGAUCAUGUGGGGCCCGCUUAUCACUGGGAUAUAUCGCUAGUGCUGGCGUAAGCUUCUGAGCCGUGGAUUGAUGCGAUGAACAGACUUGAUCUUCGAGCGCCUCUGGUGAGGAAUCUAGGUAGGUAGUUCGUGCAGCAGCGUUCCGUAGGAAAUCGAUGAAGAUGUUCGAAGACGCCAACACACUUUCCUUCCGUCCGUUCUUCCUAUCAAUACUCCGUUUAGUGGUUUACUUUGACGACUUUUGGGUUGCGCACCUACAUGGAAGAAAUUAAUCUUUAAAGCCUCCGUUGCUAAUGCUGUCUUUCCGCUGUACUUCUUCUGGCACUCGUUCACUACGGUAGUUCAUUGUUCAACUAACCUAGUACGAUCACGAUCCAAGAUCAGCACUAAAUGAAACCCGGAAGUUCCCCGAAAUAGCGCGAAAAGGAAAGAUUAAACGAGAUCUCC